UACGGGGGGGGCUAGCGUUGUUCGGAAUUACUGGGCGUAAAGGGCUCGUAGGUGGCCAACUAAGUCAUGCGUGAAAUCCCUCGGCUUAACCGGGGAACUGCGUCUGAUACUGGAUGGCUUGAAUCCGGGAGAGGGAUGCGGAAUUCCAGGUGUAGCGGUGAAAUGCGUAGAUAUCUGGAGGAACACCGGUGGCGAAGGCGGCAUCCUGGACCGGCAUUGACACUGAGGAGCGAAAGCCAGGGGAGCAAACGGG
rnacentral:rRNA from 2 species